UACGGAGGGUGCAAACGUUGCUCGGAAUCAUUGGGCGUAAAGCGCACGUAGGCGGUCUCGAAAGUCAGAUGUGAAAGCCCUCGGCUUAACCAAGGAAGUGCAUUUGAAACUUCGAGACUUGAGUACUGGAGAGGGUCGCAGAAUUCUCGGUGUAGAGGUGAAAUUCGUAGAUAUCGGGAGGAACACCAGUGGCGAAGGCGACUACCUGGCCCAUUCUUGACGCUGAGGCGCGAAAGCUAGGGGAGCGAACGGG
rnacentral:rRNA from 1 species